GGUAAAAAGUAUUUAAAGUCAAACCGAGAUUUUUCUUUUAAAGUCUGCUACGGGAAAACAAAAGGCGUUUCCAUUCCGGGCACAGCUCUGGAAGGCGGGAGAUGUUAAGGAGCCGUGUGCGCGGGGUGAGUCCGCUUCCACUCGAGCGCCAUCGGGGCGGAUCCGUGAUCCCUGUCCGGGAACAUCGCACAGAAAAAUGAACCAACAUGCUUCCUGCAAAGAGCUGAAAGUGGGCUGAAGCAAAUUGUGGCACCUGAAAUUGCAAAGCUGCAGCUGGAUCCCAAAACCCUGCUGAGCACAGGAACAUUGCUGGGACCUGUGGGGGCUGAAAAAUGGCAAGAGUAAGAUCUGCAUUUUAUACAACUGAUGCUAUUAAAUGAGUUCUGUGGCUGCAUGGACCUAUCUGCUUGUUCUGACCUAUUAGGUGCCAGAGGGUUUGUAUAUAUCUAUAUAUAAAAUUGAGUACUUUGUGUGGAACUCCUUCUUAAAACAGACUGCAGGUGAAAGGAGGUUAACAGCUCAGCAAUGCAAAUGGUAGCUUCUUCCCAUGUCAAAUUACAGGAAAAAGGUUGCUUACAUGGAAAGAGUAAACCAUCUAUGAACAAGAAAAUCAAAGUGCCUGGGUGGGUGAACACGUGGAGUUCAGGGUUUCAUGGCAAAGUCUCCACUGCUGCAUUCACUGAUGCUCCCAUGGCUUCUUCCUUUUUUUAUUCAGGUAUUGUUUUACCCAAACAUGUGCUGUCCAUUGAAUUUCACCCACCCCCUGGUGCCUUGCCUGAGGUUCACAGUCAUGGGAGAUGUGUUGUUAAGGUUGACAUAACCAGGCUUUUGGUGAUGGGCAGCAGCUCUAUUCUUCUCCAGACUGGACAACAUAUGUGAACAUCCCCAUUUUGUUCUUCCUUCAGCCCUGUCAUUUUAACCAGUCCUUUCCCUGACAGAUAGCACAGAGUAAGACUGGAAAAUCACAGGCCCUAAAACAUCACAGGUGUUCUCUGCAGUCACCUCUGCUGAGCCUGGCACGAUGUGUUUGGGCUGGGAUGCAGAAAAUGCCACUGGACGCCACAAAAAUCCCAUCAUGGAUGUCCUUGGCAGUCCUGGGGGAGGUUGUAGCACAUCCUCUGCAAGGCUCCUCUCUCAGGAAAAGCUUUGUCUUGUUAUAUAAAAGGCAUCACAAGCAUUAUGUGCCACCCACCUGCUGCUCCUGUUCACCCCUGGAUCAGGAUGGCUUUGUAUCAGGCCAAAAAGUGCUUGAGUCUGAGAUGCAGAUACACCUGCUAUCUCCAUGUGUUUAUAUAAUCAUAUAAAACAUCUUAUUAUUUCUUAAAUAAUAAAUAUGUGCUUUUAUAGCUAUUUUCCCCCCUGGAGCCUUGCUGGAUGAAAGGUGUCAUUACAUAAAAUAUUUUAUUCAUGGCUAUGUUUAUCCAGACUGUGACACCCUUUUCCAGAGACAUUAUCUAAUUCUAGCAUCUGAGAGAAUCUUUGAAUAAGAUUUUGUGGAAACCACAAAUAACAAAGGGAGGAAGAUUGUGGAAAGGUAAAAAGGCUGAUCUUGAUUUGCAGCAGGCGAGCUAAAAAUUCCCUGCAGUCCCUCAGUCCUACAUCCCAGUCUCUUUGUGCUGCUUUGCUCUUUAAUAAUGGCUUCUUUAAAAAAAAAAAAAAAAAGGACAAGACAAAUUGUCUAGCCACAAGAAUUUAAACAAUGCUUUUAAUCUGAGUGAAGAAAUGUACUGCACUGCUUGGCUGCCUUUAAAGUCUGCUAUUGCAAUAUGUCAGCAAAAGGUGUAUUUGUAGAAGGGAGAGCUGUAGCUUAAUGUAGCUGCACCAUAAAGUAAUUUAUCCCUGCUGUGCUUGAUUUACAAUUCUCAAAAACUUCCUUGACAUUUUUUUUUCUGCUAAGAAACCUUGAGGUGGUGCCUGCA